rnacentral:rRNA from 1 species
UACGUAGGGACCAAGCGUUGUUCGGAUUUACUGGGCGUAAAGGGCGCGUAGGCGGCGUGGUAAGUCACUUGUGAAAUCUCUGAGCUUAACUCAGAACGGUCAAGUGAUACUGCUGUGCUAGAGUGCGGAAGGGGCAAUCGGAAUUCUUGGUGUAGCGGUGAAAUGCGUAGAUAUCAAGAGGAACACCGGUGGCGAAGGCGGCGUUCUGGACUGCAACUGACACUGAGAAACGAAAGCCAGGGUAGCAAACGGG